rnacentral:lncRNA from 1 species
AAACAAAAGAUAACAAAAAUCAUGCUCUAGUGAUGAUAACAUCCAUCAGUAGAUGCUAUCUCAACUCCUCAUCCCAUGCUAUCAUCAGAAUCUUCCUCCUCCUCUUCUGCUUCUUCCUCUUCUUCAGCAUCUUCAUAAUCAUCAUCUUCAUCAUCCUCCUUCAUAGUUGGAGCUUCAGCUGCUCUAGCUUCACUGGCCUAUGACCGGUCAUCAGGCCAUCCCACCACAGUGUUAAACUCGUCCAUCGUCCACUGUUGUCUAGGAGGUGUGUCAUACAUCCCUACAAUCAUCUUUGUAGUGGCCACCUGCCCUCUGUGCAAUGCCUGCAUCAUAGACUCCAUCAGGGACAUAUACAUGUCCCUCAUCUGAAAAGGCUUUGCAUCUUGAGGUUGUGUCUAUGUUGGUAGUGGUCCUCUCUUAUGAACUCUAGGAGGAUGUCAGGUGGCACUAGCUGGGUCACCUCAUCUACCCU